ACCCAUCGCUACUGCUGCUGCCAGCGCCACCCCAGUAAUCAGUGCUAACUAUGUGCUUGUGAACUUCUCAUCGCACUUGAAAUAACAGAAACAGAGGUAUUGCAGAGUGAACUGGAGCAGGAAAAGCUCAGGGGUAUGUGUAAGUGUGGCCAGGGAACUUAGGCCUGAGACAAUCACAGAGAGGAAAUGGCUACCUUUCUCUCACCAUUGCUGGGGGCUGGGCUAGGUGUGUCUCUGGAGUUGUGCUCUGGAACCCAGUGCAGCAUUGUGCCAGCAUGCCAAGGGCCAGCAUUCUAUAUCUCUACAGAGCCUAAACCCUUUCUUGGGAAAAGUUUGGUUCCUGAUUUGCUAAGGGCAAGAGUGAAUUUGCUGGGGGAAUACAACAUAGGCACAGCUGUAGUAGUUAGCAAUCUUAUAACUUCAGUUCCGGGGUUCUGAUGUCUGUGUGGGUGCCAGGCAUGCAUGACCACAUGCAAGUAC
rnacentral:lncRNA from 1 species